rnacentral:rRNA from 1 species
UGGGGAAUUUUGGACAAUGGGCGAAAGCCUGAUCCAGCAAUGCCGCGUGUGUGAAGAAGGCCUUCGGGUUGUAAAGCACUUUUGUCCGGAAAGAAAUCCUUGGCUCUAAUACAGUCGGGGGAUGACGGUACCGGAAGAAUAAGCACCGGCUAACUACGUGCCAGCAGCCGCGGUAAUACGUAGGGUGCAAGCGUUAAUCGGAAUUACUGGGCGUAAAGCGUGCGCAGGCGGUUUGCUAAGACCGAUGUGAAAUCCCCGGGCUCAACCUGGGAACUGCAUUGGUGACUGGCAGGCUAGAGUAUGGCAGAGGGGGGUAGAAUUCCACGUGUAGCAGUGAAAUGCGUAGAGAUGUGGAGGAAUACCGAUGGCGAAGGCAGCCCCCUGGGCCAAUACUGACGCUCAUGCACGAAAGCGUGGGGAGCAAACAGGAUUAGAUACCCUGGUAGUCCACGCCCUAAACGAUGUCAACUAGUUGUUGGGGAUUCAUUUCCUUAGUAACGUAGCUAACGCGUGAAGUUGACCGCCUGGGAGUACGGUCGCAAGAUUAAAACUCAAAGGAAUUGACGGGGUCAUAGCUGUUUCCU